rnacentral:tRNA from 1 species
GACUCCUCCUUUGGGGGUAGAGCAACGCACUCGUAAUGCGUAGGUCCGGGGUUCAAAUCCCCGAUGCGGCU